rnacentral:lncRNA from 1 species
UUUCAGCUGCUCAGUGAAGGUGUGGGGACAGACUACAGCAGUUGCCUGCUCCUCAGCUCAUAAAUUGAGGGACUGGCCCUGUGUGAGCCAUCAGCUACGUGAGAAAUUGAGAUGCCCCCCUUUCCUGCCAUCAUCUUCAGUCUACCUCCAGUACAUACAGUCUUAUGGCCCUGAGACUGCAUCUGAGCAACAGCAGAACCAGACUUGGAAACUGAGCUUUCUGUGUGAUGAUUGGAGUUAAAAAGGAGAA